rnacentral:ncRNA from 1 species
GGCAGGCGUGCGCGGGUAGCUCCUGGUCGUCCCUAGGGACGGCAGCCGGUAAAACGGUGGGAUCCUGGGGUCCGGAGCCUGCCAUUUU